rnacentral:rRNA from 1 species
UACGAAGGGGGCUAGCGUUGUUCGGAUUUACUGGGCGUAAAGCGCACGUAGGCGGCUUUUUAAGUCAGAGGUGAAAUCCUGGAGCUCAACUCCAGAACUGCCUUUGAUACUGGAGAGCUUGAGUCCGGGAGAGGUGAGUGGAACUGCGAGUGUAGAGGUGAAAUUCGUAGAUAUUCGCAAGAACACCAGUGGCGAAGGCGGCUCACUGGCCCGGUACUGACGCUGAGGUGCGAAAGCGUGGGGAGCAAACAGG